UACGUAGGGUGCGAGCGUUGUCCGGAAUUAUUGGGCGUAAAGAGCUCGUAGGCGGUCUGUCGCGUCGGUCGUGAAAACUUGGGGCUUAACCCUGAGCUUGCGGUCGAUACGGGCAUGACUGGAGUUCGGCAGGGGAGACUGGAAUUCCUGGUGUAGCGGUGAAAUGCGCAAAUAUCAGGAGGAACACCGGUGGCGAAGGCGGGUCUCUGGGCCGAUACUGACGCUGAGGAGCGAAAGCGUGGGGAGCGAACAGG
rnacentral:rRNA from 1 species